AAAGGGCAGCGAAACCGCGAGGUCAAGCAAAUCCCAUAAAGUUGUUCUCAGUUCGGAUUGUAGUCUGCAACUCGACUACAUGAAGCUGGAAUCGCUAGUAAUCGUAGAUCAGCAUGCUACGGUGAAUACGUUCCCGGGUCUUGUACACACCGCCCGUCACACCACGAGAGUUUGUAACACCCGAAGCCGGUGGAGUAACCUUUUAGGAGCUAGCCGUCGAAGGUGGGACAAAUGAUUGGGGUGAAGUCGUAACAAGGUAGCCGUAUCGGAAGGUGCGGCUGGAUCACCUCCUUU
rnacentral:rRNA from 1 species